rnacentral:rRNA from 1 species
UACGGAGGAUCCGAGCGUUAUCCGGAUUUAUUGGGUUUAAAGGGUGCGUAGGCGGGAUAUUAAGUCAGUGGUGAAAUCCUGCAGCUUAACUGCAGAACUGCCGUUGAUACUGAUAGUCUUGAGUUUGGUUAAGGUAGGCGGAAUGUGUAAUGUAGCGGUGAAAUGCUUAGAUAUUACACAGAACACCAAUUGCGUAGGCAGCUUACUGAGCCGACACUGACGCUGAGGCACGAAAGCGUGGGGAUCAAACAGGAUUAGA